GGCCUGAUAGCUCAGUCGGUAGAGCAAAGGACUGAAAAUCCUUGUGUCGCUGGUUCGAUUCCAGCUCAGGCCACCA
rnacentral:tRNA from 1 species